GAUGAACGCUGCGGCGUGCCUAAUACAUGCAAGUCGAGCGAACGGACGAGAAGCUUGCUUCUCUGAUGUUAGCGGCGGACGGGUGAGUAACACGUGGAUAACCUACCUAUAAGACUGGGAUAACUUCGGGAAACCGGAGCUAAUACCGGAUGAUAUUUUGAACCGCAUGGUUCAAAAGUGAAAGACGGUCUUGCUGUCACUUAUAGAUGGAUCCGCGCUGCAUUAGCUAGUUGGUAAGGUAACGGCUUACCAAGGCAACGAUGCAUAGCCGACCUGAGAGGGUGAUCGGCCACACUGGAACUGAGACACGGUCCAGACUCCUACGGGAGGCAGCAGUAGGGAAUCUUCCGCAAUGGGCGAAAGCCUGACGGAGCAACGCCGCGUGAGUGAUGAAGGUCUUCGGAUCGUAAAACUCUGUUAUUAGGGAAGAACAUAUGUGUAAGUAACUGUGCACAUCUUGACGGUACCUAAUCAGAAAGCCACGGCUAACUACGUG
rnacentral:rRNA from 1 species